AGUCUUGACAAAUGGCUUGUAACUUAGCAUCCACUGAGGAGUGAAGCGGCUUGUACUCGCCGAAUUCACCCCCGAUGAGCGAGCCAUUAUGGCGGAGGUGGGGGAAAUUCAGGCGAGCAAAGUCACCCCGGAGUUUAAAGGCCGCCUUGUCAUAAGCUAAGGCGGCCUCCUCAGCGGUGUCAAAGGUACCAAGCCAAAGCCGGGUCCGGUUCUUGGGCAAUCGGAUCUCUGCCACCCAUUUUCCCCAGUGGCGUUGUCUAACACCGCGGUAAAGCUUAGGGGGUUUGGGUGGCGAGCCUGAUUGCUUCAUCGAAACCGGCUUUGGACUC
rnacentral:lncRNA from 1 species